AACACGAUUAAAACGGAGCAAAUAUAAGAAAGAGAGAAGAAAAACCGAAAAAGCGUUCCAUUUCAUCAAGCAAACCUCUUAUCAUCUUCGCUUCUGCAAAGUUCCAGUUACCGCCCCUCCAUUCGCCUAUCAAUUGUUGAGUGUGUGACAAAUAGAGAUCUAUUUUUCUGCUUCAUCUAGAGCUAGCAGAUCUUCAUUAUAUGGAUAAAAGGACACCCGAAAAUGAGGGAACCGAAGAAGUGACUCGGGAAUCACUCAUCGCAAUCUCUUACUCAUUACCUGAUAAGGUUGUUGCUUCCAAACUGUCAUCAGGUAAUUUGAAUGGUGAAAAACAGUUUGAAAGAACAGGUUCCAAUGGAGCCAAAAAAUACAGGUCUGAAUUGAUCUCGAUAUCCUAUUCCCAGUCACCUGACGAUAAGGGCUUACCAUCUCCAUUGAAGGGACUAGAGAAUUAGCAUUGCUGUCUCUUCCCCUCCGUUACGCGUCUCUCUAGGGUUCGGGGAAGGGCUUUUCUUGACCUUGGGAUUGGGUCUGGUAUGAGCUAGAACUGUUUCGUUGUCUAUGUUUGUUUUAUUGAUGGAACUGCCAGUUUCGCAGCUGAUCAUUUGCUAUAUAAAACCUUCCGUUACCUUUUCUGUCAAUGCAUGCUUUGCAAUUUCUUGUGCUCACUUUAUGUGAAAUAUGUCUUUGAUACAAGCUUCUUUGAUGCUCCACGAAUUCUGUGCGGUAUUGCUGAUAAAAUUUUGUGGUAGGGACACAGCUCAACAGUUGUGAAGAAAAUUUCUCUAUUU